GUGAGUAACACGUGGAUAACCUACCUAUAAGACUGGGAUAACUUCGGGAAACCGGAGCUAAUACCGGAUAACAUGUUGAACCGCAUGGUUCAACAGUGAAAGACGGUCUUGCUGUCACUUAUAGAUGGAUCCGCGCCGCAUUAGCUAGUUGGUAAGGUAACGGCUUACCAAGGCAACGAUGCGUAGCCGACCUGAGAGGGUGAUCGGCCACACUGGAACUGAGACACGGUCCAG
rnacentral:rRNA from 1 species